AAUAAAGGGCCGGAUUAAAGGAUUUUUCUGAAAGGAUAAAUUAAGAAAAAAAUUUUCCCUUUUAUUA
rnacentral:tRNA from 1 species